AUGGAAGCCACAGCUCAGCUUCUCUGCCUGCUGGUACUGUGGCUCCCAGAUUCCACUGGGCAAACCCUGUUGACCCAGACACCAGCCUCCCUGGCUUUGUCUCCAGGAGAAACAGCCACUCUCAGCUGCAAGGCCAGUCAGGCUGUCAGCAGCUCCCUAGCCUGGUACCAGCAGAAACCUGGCCAGGCUCCCAGGCUCCUCAUCCAUGGUGCCUCCAGCAGGACCACGGGCCACCCAGGCCAGUUCAGCGGCAGUGGGUCAGGGACAGGCUUCACUCUCACCAUCAGCAGGCUGGAGCCUGAAGAUGUUGCAGUUUAUCACUGUUACCAGUGUUAUAGCUGCUUCCAGAAGCUGACCCAGUCUCCAGCUGUCCUGUCUAUGAUGCUAGGGGGGACAGCUACUAUCACCUGCCAGGCCAGUCAAAACAUUGCCACCAACCCAUACUGGUACCAGAAGAAAUCAAAUUAG